rnacentral:lncRNA from 1 species
UUUAUUUUAUUUUAUUUUAUUUUAUUUUAUUUUAUUUUAUUUUAUUUCAUUUCAUUUCAUUUCAUUUCAUUUCAUUUCAUUUCAUUUCAUUUCAUUCCUUUACAAUAACAAAGUUGCACAGAAGGGAUAUAAAGAUGACAAAAGUACCGCUCUUCAAGAACAACAUUUAUCCUUUGGAAACUACAAAGACUGGGUGCAUAGUUUGUAAGAUUUCUAUUUUAUUUUAUUUUUUUUUAAAUAAUGUUUUCUUUUAUGCCUAAAUUUUCCUUGUCAGGUUUUCUCUCGACACCACAAGUGCACACAGUCAUCAGUUUCUGUGAAAAACUAAUGCAAAAAUGACAGUGGAGAAGAAAUCCUUACAGCAGCAGCUGCUGCCAGGUGAUUGCACUGCACCAUCACGGCCUUCUGCAGAGAAGCACAGCUGCAUCCUCGCCUUGCCUGAUGCAUCCAAACUAUACAGCUGCUAUUCCCUCCCACCUCCCAAGAUGGACUUUGAUGGACAGAAGAACCUGAGGAUGUGGUUCAGGAGAAGGUUUUGA